GGGGAAACUGUUCUUGAUAGUGUGGCGAUGCCUGAUGGAGCAAUGCCAUGUGAACGAUGAAGGCCAGACAGGUCGUAAAGUUCUUUUAGAGGGGAAAAAUUUGAUGGUACCCUCUGAAUAAGUGACAGCAAACUAUGUGCCAGCAGCUGCGGUAAUACAUAGGUCGCGAGCGUUAUUCGGAUUUAUUGGGCGUAAAGCAAGCGCAGGCGGAUGAAUAAGUUCUGCAUUAAAAGCAGCUGCUUAACAGUUGUUUGUGCCGAAUACUAUUCAUCUAGAAUGUGGUAGGAAGUUUUGGAAUUAAAUAUGGAGCGGUGGAAUGUGUAGAUAUAUUUAAGAACACCAGAGGCGAAGGCGAAAACUUAGGCCAUUAUUGACGCUUAGGCUUGAAAGUGUGGGUAGCAAAUGGGAUUAGAUACCCCAGUAGUCCACACCGUAAACGAUGGGUAUUAGAUGUCGGGAUUUGUGUUUCGGCGUUGUAGCUUACGUGUUAAAUACCCCGCCUGGGUAGUACAUAUGCAAAUAUGAAACUCAAAGGAAUUGACGGGGACCUGAACAAGGGGUGGAGCAA
rnacentral:rRNA from 1 species